GACGAACGCUGGCGGCGUGCCUAAUACAUGCAAGUCGAGCGAGCUGAACCAACAGAUUUACUUCGGUAAUGACGUUGGGAACGCGAGCGGCGGAUGGGUGAGUAACACGUGGGGAACCUGCCCCUCAGUCUGGGAUACCACUUGGAAACAGGUGCUAAUACCGGAUAAUAAAGCAGAUCGCAUGAUCAGCUUUUGAAAGGCGGCGUAAGCUGUCGCUAAGGGAUGGCCCCGCGGUGCAUUAGCUAGUUGGUAGGGUAACGGCCUACCAAGGCAAUGAUGCAUAGCCGAGUUGAGAGACUGAUCGGCCACAUUGGGACUGAGACACGGCCCAAACUCCUACGGGAGGCAGCAGUAGGGAAUCUUCCACAAUGGACGAAAGUCUGAUGGAGCAACGCCGCGUGAGUGAAGAAGGUUUUCGGAUCGUAAAGCUCUGUUGUUGGUGAAGAAGGAUAGAGGUAGUAACGGCCU
rnacentral:rRNA from 1 species